rnacentral:rRNA from 1 species
UACGUAGGGUGCGAGCGUUAAUCGGAAUUACUGGGCGUAAAGCGUGCGCAGGCGGUUCGUUGUGUCGGCGGUGAAAGCCCGGGGCUCAACUCCGGAAUUGCCUUUAAGACUGCAUCGCUAGAAUUGUGGAGAGGUAAGUGGAAUUCCGAGUGUAGAGGUGAAAUUCGUAGAUAUUCGGAAGAACACCAGUGGCGAAGGCGGCUCACUGGCCCGAUACUGACGCUGAGGCACGAAAGCGUGGGGAGCAAACAGG